rnacentral:rRNA from 1 species
GGGAUUGCCUCAGUAACGGCGAGUGAAGCGGCAACAGCUCAAAUUUGAAAUCUGGCUCUUUCAGGGUCCGAAUUGUAAUUUGCAGAGGAUGCUUUGGGUGCGGGCGCCUUCCGAGUUCCCUGGAACGGGACGCCAUAGAGGGUGAGAGCCCCGUCUGGUAGGAUGCCCAGCCCGUGUAAAGCUCCCUCGACGAGUCGAGUAGUUUGGGAAUGCUGCUCUAAGGGGAGGUAUACUCCUUCCAAAGCUAAAUACCGGCUGGAGACCGAUAGCGCACAAGUAGAGUGAUCGAAAGAUGAAAAGCACUUUGAAAAGAGAGUCAAAUAGCACGUGAAAUUGUUGAAAGGGAAGCGCUCGCUACCAGACUUGGGUACGCGGUUCCGUAGGUGCUCCGCACCUGCGUACUCCUCGUGCCCAGGCCAGCAUCAGUUCUUCGUCGGGUUAAAAGGCUUCGGGAAUGUGGCUCGCCUCGGUGAGUGUUAUAGCCCGUUGUGUCAUGCCCGGUGGGGGACUGAGGUACGCGCUCCGCAAGGAUGCUGGCGUAAUGGUAGCUAGUGACCCGUCUUGAAACACGGACCAAGGAGUCAACCUUAUGUGCAAGUGCCCGGGCGUAAAACCCCAGCGCGGAAUGAAAGUGAACGUAGGUGAGAGCUUCGGCGCAUCACCGACCGAUCCUGAUGUCCUCGGACGGAUUUGAGUGUGAGCAUAUAGGGUUGGACCCGAAAGAAGAUGAACUAUGCGUGUGUAGGGUGAAGCCAGAGGAAACUCUGGUGGAGGCUCGCAGCGGUUCUGACGUGCAAAUCGAUCGUCAAACAUGCGCAUGGGGGCGAAAGACUA